rnacentral:lncRNA from 1 species
UGAUUUUUAAUAAAAUACGAAACGAAAAAGACAUGAGAAGCGAAAACCAAAAAUCUGGAGUGUGCAAAAUCCUGGUAGAACAAGAAAAUACAGGCCAAUCUACAUCGUACAUAGGAGUUACAACUCUAACGCUCCAACAAAGAAUUAAAGACCACAAAAGAGACGUAGCAAAGGGGAAAACAAGCACCACUCUAGCUGAAGCUGCAUAUGUGGGUAAAAUAAAUAUAAAAUGGGAAGAAACAAAAGUAGUAAAACCAGUACUAAAGAGGACAUAAGCACUACUAGCUGAAGGGUUACAAAUCCUAAAGACUAAAGCAGAAGGCCCCGUACUCAAUGAGAGAACCACAAUAGAAGUCCCAGAUGCAUGGGCAUAUCUGGUAACAAA